GACGAACGCUGGCGGCGUGCUUAACACAUGCAAGUCGAACGGAAAGGCCCUGCUUUUGUGGGGUGCUCGAGUGGCGAACGGGUGAGAAACACGUGAGUAACCUGCCCUUGACUUUGGGAUAACUUCAGGAAACUGGGGCUAAUACCGGAUAGGAGCUCCUGCUGCAUGGUGGGGGUUGGAAAGUUUCGGCGGUUGGGGAUGGACUCGCGGCUUAUCAGCUUGUUGGUGGGGUAGUGGCUUACCAAGGCUUUGACGGGUAGCCGGCCUGAGAGGGUGACCGGCCACAUUGGGACUGAGAUACGGCCCAGACUCCUACGGGAGGCAGCAGUGGGGAAUAUUGCACAAUGGGCGGAAGCCUGAUGCAGCAACGCCGCGUGCGGGAUGACGGCCUUCGGGUUGUAAACCGCUUUCGCCUGUGACGAAGCGUGAGUGACGGUAAUGGGCAAAGAAGCACCGGCUAACUACGUG
rnacentral:rRNA from 1 species